rnacentral:lncRNA from 1 species
CAGGAAGUUACAGGUGCCCUGGGCUGGGGCCCUGGGACACAUUCCAUUUCUGGGGCUGGUGCCUCCCAUCCAGGCUCCAGACCAACUCCUUAGGGUGCAUUUUAAAACUGGUUCUUCCAGCUAUUAACCCUGCAGUUCCUGAGAGAACACACACCCAGGUGGAGCUAAUUAGGGUGGGAUGAGAGAUUGGGACUCUAGGAAUUCAGUGCCAGCCUCCCCUGCAGGUCACUCUCUUCAGGCUGCUUCAGGAAUAAGUCCCCAGUCUAGGGGUGCUGGGGAAUCCUGCACCGUGAUUGCUGUGUAAUCACAACACCUAAAGAUGAAGGAUUUGGACAAAGGAGCAUUUAUUGAGCACUUUGUCUGUGGUACUAGGCCCAUUACAUUCAUUGUUUCCAGCCUCACAACCACCCUGUCAUACAAUUAUGAUUCCCAUUUUUUUCAAUGUGGAAACUGAGGCUCAGAGGUGGUAAGGUGCUUGUUUAAGCUCUCCUGCCUUUGAGCAAUUGAACUGGUAUCUAAAACCAGGUCUCUCAGACUCCAAAUCCUACACGUAGCUGCUUCCCCUUUCAGGUUGAUAAAAUGAUCAACCUGAGCUAGUCUAUCUUGCACUGCUUCUCCUGCUUAGAGGUAAUUGCGAGUGUUAGAUGUUGAUAAACAGCAAUGUAGUAAUGAUGUGAACCAGUCAAAACCUUAAUCCUCUCCACCUAAAAUACGAUCACAUCACUUCCUUUUUCAAAAAAAUCUUCAUUGACUUCUCUACUCACCAGAUCAAGUUCAAACUCUUUAGCGUACAAGACAAAACACUAAAGAGACUAUGACCAAAUGCCAAACUCAUGUUUCCCUUUUCUCUUUCAAGAAUGAUGUCCAGUCUGGGAAGGGAAAAAUAACCCUACUGAGUUGGAAUUGGGGUCCAAGAUUGGUGAGAAAGCGCCCAACAAACAUGACAGAGUUUGAAGGGAGUCCAGGUCUCCUCACCCUGACCAGUGACUGCUCAGCCUCAGCUGCAGCAUGUCGAGAUUGCUCAACAGCUAUUGUUAAUCUUUCACAAACCAUAACAAAUGUGAGACAGUCCCCAAGGAUGGAGUGGGCAAAAGUCCCAGUUUUUAAAAGGGAGAACACUUUAGAUACUGCAAACUACAAACCAAUAAGUGGGAAGGGGAG